rnacentral:rRNA from 1 species
UACGUAGGGUGCAAGCGUUAAUCGGAAUUACUGGGCGUAAAGCGUGCGCAGGCGGUGAUGUAAGACAGGGUGUGAAAUCCCCGGGCUUAACCUGGGAACUGCAUUUGUGACUGCAUCGCUGGAGUGCGGCAGAGGGGGGAUGGAAUUCCGCGUGUAGCAGUGAAAUGCGUAGAUAUGCGGGAGGAACACCGAUGGCGAAGGGCAAUCCCCCUGGGCCUGCACUGACGUCCA